AAAAAAAAAAAAAACAACAACAUACAAAUCAGCUUAUAUUGAAACUCAAAGUGUGGUUUACAUAUAAUAUUAUUGAACACCAAGAGUUAUUGAAAUUCAAGGUGUAUUUUUUCCUUAUAAAUUAUUGAGCACCAAGAGUUAUUGAAAUUCAAGGUGUAUUUUUUCCUUAUAAAUUAUUGAGCACCAAGAGUUAUUGAAAUUCAAGGUGUAUUUUUCCAUAUAAAUUAUUGAACACCAAGAGUUAUUGAAAUUCAAGGUGUAUUUUUUCCUUAUAAAUUAUUGAGCACCAAGAGUUAUUGAAAUUCAAGGUGUAUUUUUCCAUAUAAAAUAUUGAACACCAAGAGUUAUUGAAAUUCAAGGUGUAUUUUUUCCUUAUAAAUUAUUGAGCACCAAGAGUUAUUGAAAUUCAAGGUGUAUUUUUUCCUUAUAAACUAUUGAGCACCA